rnacentral:rRNA from 1 species
GAUAAACGCUGGCGGCGUGCCUAAUACAUGCAAGUCGAGCGAACGGACGAGAAGCUUGCUUCUCUGAUGUUAGCGGCGGACGGGUGAGUAACACGUGGAUAACCUACCUAUAAGACUGGGAUAACUUCGGGAAACCGGAGCUAAUACCGGAUAAUAUUUUGAACCGCAUGGUUCAAAAGUGAAAGACGGUCUUGCUGUCACUUAUAGAUGGAUCCGCGCUGCAUUAGCUAGUUGGUAAGGUAACGGCUUACCAAGGCAACGAUGCAUAGCCGACCUGAGAGGGUGAUCGGCCACACUGGAACUGAGACACGGUCCAGACUCCUACGGGAGGCAGCAGUAGGGAAUCUUCCGCAAUGGGCGAAAGCCUGACGGAGCAACGCCGCGUGAGUGAUGAAGGUCUUCGGAUCGUAAAACUCUGUUAUUAGGGAGGAACAUAUGUGUAAGUAACUGUGCACAUCUUGACGGUACCUAAUCAGAAAGCCACGGCUAACUACGUGCCAGCAGCCGCGGUAAUACGUAGGUGGCAAGCGUUAUCCGGAAUUAUUGGGCGUAAAGCGCGCGUAGGCGGUUUUUUAAGUCUGAUGUGAAAGCCCACGGCUCAACCGUGGAAGGUCAUUGGAAACUGGAAAACUUGAGUGCAGAAGAGGAAAGUGGAAUUCCAUGUGUAGCGGUGAAAUGCGCAGAGAUAUGGAGGAACACCAGUGGCGAAGGCGACUUUCUGGUCUGUAACUGACGCUGAUGUGCGAAAGCGUGGGGAUCAAACAGGAUUAGAUACCCUGGUAGUCCACGCCGUAAACGAUGAGUGCUAAGUGUUAGGGGGUUUCCGCCCCUUAGUGCUGCAGCUAACGCAUUAAGCACUCCGCCUGGGGAGUACGACCGCAAGGUUGAAACUCAAAGGAAUUGACGGGGACCCGCACAAGCGGUGGAGCAUGUGGUUUAAUUCGAAGCAACGCGAAGAACCUUACCAAAUCUUGACAUCCUUUGACAACUCUAGAGAUAGAGCCUUCCCCUUCGGGGGACAAAGUGACAGGUGGUGCAUGGUUGUCGUCAGCUCGUGUCGUGAGAUGUUGGGUUAAGUCCCGCAACGAGCGCAACCCUUAAGCUUAGUUGCCAUCAUUAAGUUGGGCACUCUAAGUUGACUGCCGGUGACAAACCGGAGGAAGGUGGGGAUGACGUCAAAUCAUCAUGCCCCUUAUGAUUUGGGCUACACACGUGCUACAAUGGACAAUACAAAGGGCAGCGAAACCGCGAGGUCAAGCAAAUCCCAUAAAGUUGUUCUCAGUUCGGAUUGUAGUCUGCAACUCGACUACAUGAAGCUGGAAUCGCUAGUAAUCGUAGAUCAGCAUGCUACGGUGAAUACGUUCCCGGGUCU